rnacentral:tRNA from 1 species
GGGGUCGUCGUCCAGUUUGGUCUAGGAUACCAGCCUGGGGCGCUGGCGAUCGUGAGUUCAAAUCUCACCGACCCCACCA